UCCAAGUCGUCCAUACUUGAUCUAGUGUACUAAUUUUAUACGAAGUACAUCUUCCUCAGAAUUCAGAAGUGCUAUACAGAUAGAUAAAGAACGAAUAAGAGAUGGAGAGUGAAGCAGCUCCUUACAUAGGAAUGUUAAUGGCGGAAUUUUGCCAAGUUGGACUCAUGAUUAUCAGCAAACAAGCUAUGAAUACUGGUAUGACUACUUUCGUCUUCGUCUCCUACUCCAAUGCUCUUGCGUCCCUCAUCCUCCUUCCUUUCUCUCUCUUCCUUCACAGAUCAAAUCUCCCCCCGCUCAGUUUCUCCCUCCUCGGAUGGUUUUUUCUGCUUGCUCUUUCUGGGUGUUUGGCUCAGUUAUUUGGGUAUAUAGGCAUCAAUUAUAGCUCUCCUACUCUUGGGGCGGCUAUGCUGAACCUUGUUCCCGGGCUAACAUUUUUGCUCGCAAUCAUCUUUAGGAUGGAAAUGCUAAACACAAGAAAUAUAACUUGUCUAGCAAAAUUGGUAGGAACCAUAGUCUCGAUUGCUGGAGCAUUUGUUGUGACUCUUUAUGAAGGUCCACCACUGCUGAAAAGGCUCGCAACUUUGCACACUCAUCAACUUAGUCUUCGUGGAGAUCAAAUGAACUGGAUUCUUGGUGGUUUCUUUCUUGCCAUUGAUUGUGUCAUGGCGUCAAGCUGGGUCAUCAUACAAGCAAUAAUUCUCAAAAAGUAUCCAGCAGAACUCAUUGUUGUGUUCUUUUAUUGCUUCUUUGUUGCUAUCCAAUCUGGAAUCGUGACACUUAUUGUGGAAAGGGACCUAAGUGCUUGGAGUCUGAAGCCUACAUUGAGGCUGCUUGCAAUUCUUUACUCGGCAAUAUUUGGUUCUGCCCUCCAAGUUGGCCUUUGCUCAUGGUGCCUGCGAAGGAAGGGGCCUGUUUUUGUUUGCAUGUUUAAGCCUCUGGGAAUUGCAAUAGCUGCAAUUGCAGGUGUUGUUUUCUUUGGGGAUACAUUAUUUCUUGGAAGUUUGCUUGGGGUGAUAAUAAUAGUUCUUGGCUUCUACUCUGUUAUGUGGGGAAAGGCUAAAGAAGAGAAGAAAAUUCAUGCUGGUCACUUCAGCAGCAUGGGAUCUCCCACCCAAACGAUGCCAUUGCUGGAAAAUUAUGCUGAUGAGAUGGUGAAUGCUGCUGCUUAAAGAAGAUGUCAACAUACAUCUUACGCAAAUAGCUACUGAAGCUUUCUCAGGAUAAAGAAAGAGAUGAUUAGAAAAGCAAAAAGUUUCUAUGAUCAGGUUGUCGAAAGCUGGAAGGAGUCCAAACUAGUAAAUGUGAUGGGCAUGAAGUGUUCAUUUGCUGGUGCUGUAUUCUAUUCCAUGGUAGGCACGAUAGUUCUCUAUGCACCUGGCUUUAAAAAAUCCCGUCAACAGGAAAAACGGCGAUCUUCUGUCUGCCCACAGACUGAGGAAUCACUGCAUCUAUCUUUCUAUGAUCAAUGCCCAUAAUUUGACCUAUUGUAUAUGGAUUAGUUGUCAACCUUUUUAAUGAUGUAAGAUCAUUUGUAAAUAUAUCUUUAAAUGCUGUUAUUGGCCAUAAGAUUGAGUCUUGUAUAAACAUUAUUUAUUCUUAUAUGAUGUAAGAUAAUUUGUAAAUAUAUCAUUAAAUACUGUUAUUGGCCAUAAGAUUAAGUCUUGUAUAAACAUUAUUUAUUCUUCUAUUUGUUGAAUACAUGGAAUCAGUAUUU